rnacentral:rRNA from 1 species
UGGGGAAUAUUGGACAAUGGGCGCAAGCCUGAUCCAGCAAUGCCGCGUGUGUGAAGAAGGCCUUCGGGUUGUAAAGCACUUUUAUCAGGAGCGAAACGCUGUCGGCUAAUACCCGGCGGAACUGACGGUACCUGAGGAAUAAGCACCGGCUAACUUCGUGCCAGCAGCCGCGGUAAUACAAGGGUGCAAGCGUUAAUCGGAAUUACUGGGCGUAAAGCGUGCGUAGGCGGUUUCUUAAGUCUGCUGUGAAAUCCCCGGGCUCAACCUGGGAAUGGCAGUGGAUACUGGGAGGCUAGAGUGUGUCAGAGGGUGGUGGAAUUCCCGGUGUAGCGGUGAAAUGCGUAGAGAUCGGGAGGAACAUCAGUGGCGAAGGCGGCCACCUGGGGACAACACUGACGCUGAGGCACGAAAGCGUGGGGAGCAAACAGGAUUAGAUACCCUGGUAGUCCACGCCCUAAACGAUGCGAACUGGAUGUUGGUCUCAACUCGGAGAUCAGUGUCGAAGCUAACGCGUUAAGUUCGCCGCCUGGGGAGUACGGUCGCAAGACUGAAACUCAAAGGAAUUGAC